rnacentral:sRNA from 2 species
CCAGAUCUGCAUAUGAACAGGGGGCUUCGUGAAAGCAUUGUUGAGGGAUAGUCUGUAUCCGGUGCUUUCCUCAUAGAUUGUAUAUAUAUAUAUAUAUAUAUAUAUCCAUGACUAUGACUGGGGGGGAACACGUCUGCGGGGCGCUUGAGAAAUGCGGUAAGAAAUGCGGCAAGAUAUUCUGUAGAUAUGAUAUUGGGGCUUGAGGGCGUCUAAUGGAGUCGAUACUAUCUGACAGAGAUUGGUUUGGUGAUGCUGUCGACCAUACCCGAUUGAAGGGAGGGCGAGGAUCUGCAGUAGAGAAACCCAUACACACCCAUUAAUUAAAGAGUGAAGAAAGAAACAGGAUGUGAUAUAUAUAACAGGUGAAUGAAUGAAUACAUUGGGC